rnacentral:tRNA from 1 species
GCGCCCGUAGUUCAGCUGGAUAGAACGUCAGAUUGCGGUUCUGAAAGUCGGGGGUUCGAAUCCCUUCGGGCGCACCA